rnacentral:rRNA from 1 species
GGACUACUGGGGUAUCUAAUCCCGUUCGCUCCCCUGGCUUUCGCGCCUCAGCGUCAGUAAAGGCCCAAGAAGCCGCCUUCGCCACCGGUGUUCCGACUGAUAUCUACGCAUUUCACCGCUACACCAGCCAUUCCACUUCUCUCUACCUCACUCAAGACCGACAGUAUGAGAGGCAGUUCCGGGGUUGAGCCCUGGAAUUUCACCUCUCACUUAACGGCCCGCCUACGCGCGCUUUACGCCCAGUAACUUCGGACAACGCUCGCUCCCUACGUAUUACCGCGGCUGCUGGCAC